UACGGGGGGGGCAAGCGUUGUUCGGAAUUACUGGGCGUAAGGGCUCGUAGGCGGCCAACUAAGUCAGACGUGAAAUCCCUCGGCUUAACCGGGGAACUGCGUCUGAUACUGGAUGGCUUGAGUUUGGGAGAGGGAUGCGGAAUUCCAGGUGUAGCGGUGAAAUGCGUAGAUAUCUGGAGGAACACCGGUGGCGAAGGCGGGUCUCUGGGCAUCUCCUGACGCUGAGGCGCGAAAGCCAGGGGAGCAAACGGG
rnacentral:rRNA from 1 species